GGUUCAGUUUUGGGUCUCUUUUGGGUCAUUUUUGGGUCAGUUCAUGCCCCAGGAUCACUUUUGGGUCAGUUUUGGGUCAGUUUUGGUUCAGUUUUGGGUCCAUUUGGGUCCAUUUGGUUCAGUUUUGGGUCAGUUUUGGUUCAGUUUUGUUUCAGUUUUGGGUCCGUUUUGGGUCCACUUGGGUCCGUUUUGGGUCAGUUCAUGCCCCAGGAUCACUUUUGGGUCAGUUUUGGUUCAUUUUUGGGUCCACUUGGUUCAUUUUUGGGUCAGUUCAUGCCCCAGCAUCACUUUUGGGUCAUUUUUGGGUCCAUUUGGGUCCAUUUGGUUCAGUUUUGGGUCAGUUUUGGGUCAGUUUUGCGUCAGUUUUGGGUCAGUUUUGGGUCAGUUCAUGCCCCAGGAUCACUUUUGGGUCAGUUUUGGGUCCAUUUGGGUCCAUUUUGGUUCAUUUUUGGGUCCACUUGGUUCAUUUUUGGGUCAGUUCAUGCCCCAGCAUCACUUUUGGGUCAGUUUUGGGUCCAUUUGGGUCAGUUUUGGGUCCAUUUGGAUCAUUUUUGGGUCACUUUUGGGUCUAUUUGGGUCACUUUUGGGUCCAUUUGGGUCAUUUUUGGGUCCAUUUGGUUCAGUUUUGGGUCAGUUCAUGCCCCAGGAUCACUUUUGGGUCAGUUUUGGGUCCAUUUGGGUCAGUUUUGGUUCAGUUUUGGGUCCAUUUGGUUCAUUUUUGGGUCAGUUCAUGCCCCAGGAUCACUUUUGGGUCAUUUUUGGGUCAGUUUUGGUUCAGUUUUGGGUCCAUUUGGGUCCAUUUGGUUCAGUUUUGGGUCAGUUUUGGUUCAGUUUUGUUUCAGUUUUGGGUCCGUUUUGGGUCCGUUUUGGUUCAGUUUUGGGUCCAUUUGGGUCAGUUUUGGGUCAGUUUUGGGUCAGUUUUGGUUCAGUUUUGGUUCAGUUUUGGGUCCAUUUGGGUCCAUUUGGGUCCAUUUGGGUCCGUUUUGGUUCAUUUUUGGGUCCAUUUGGGUCACUUUUGGGUCCACUUGGUUCAUUUUUGGGUCAGUCCAUGCCCCAGCAUCACUUUUGGGUCAGUUCUGCUUCAUUUUUGGGUCCAUUUGGUUCAGUUUUGGGUCAGUUCAUGCCCCAGGAUCACUUUUGGGUCAGUUUUGGGUCCAUUUGGUUCAGUUUUGGGUCAUUUUUGGGUCAGUUCGUGCCCCAGGAUCACUUUUGGGUCAUUUUUGGGUCCAUUUGGGUCCGUUUUGGGUCAGUCCAUGCCCCAGCAUCACUUUCGGGGUGCCCCACCUCCGCCGUGACCCCGCUCUCCCUCUGCAGGAGAAGGAAGGCGUGCAGUGGGAGGCCAAGGAGGAGGAGGAGGAGGAGGAAGAGGAGGAGGAGGAGGGCGAGAAGGAGGAGGAAGACGACCACAUGGAAUACUGCCGGGUGUGCAAGGACGGCGGCGAGCUGCUGUGCUGCGACGCCUGCGUCUCCUCCUACCACAUCCACUGCCUCAACCCGCCCCUGCCCGAGGUCCCCAACGGGGAGUGGCUCUGUCCCCGCUGCACGGUGCGUGGGGACACCUGGGGACACCUGGGGACAUCAUCUGGGGACACCUGGGGACACCUGGGGACACCCUGGGGACACCUGGGGACAUGGGGACACUGCGUCUCCUCCUACCACAUCCACUGCCUCAACCCGCCCCUGCCCGAGGUUCACCUGGGGACACCUUGGGGACACCCUGGGGACACCUGGGGACACCCUGGGGACACCUUGGGGACAUGGGAAACACCUGGGGACACAGCUGGGGACACCCAAAACACACCUGGGGACAUGGGACACACCUGGGACACACCUGGAGACACCUGGGGACACCUGGGGACACCUGGGGACACCUGGAACAUGUCUAGAACCCGAUCUAGAACCGAGUCUAGAACCGAGUCUAAAACCGAGUCUAGAACCGCUCUAGAACCGAGUCUAGAACCGAGUCUAGAACCGAGUCUAGAACCGAUCUAGAACCGAG
rnacentral:lncRNA from 1 species